GCGCCGCCGCCCUCCGCCCGCCGAGGCGGAACUUCCUGCCCCUGCCCGGAGGAGGCGGGUCCGGGCCGCGCCGCGGCGUUCUUUCCCAGCUGUUAAAAGCUGAAGGAAGAUGUCUUUUUUCCCCAAAGUCUCCUUCCAGCGUGAAGUUGAAGAGUAUCUCACCAAAGUGUUCAGAAAUAAUGAGCUUAUCACUGCUUUCGGUACCCAGGAGGUGGAGCGCAAAUAUCAGUCUCUGUUAAAUCAGCUGUCUCAUCCACCACGUUUCACAACUGUAAGAGUUAACACUCACUUGGCCUCAGUGGGAGAGGUGAAAAAAAUGCUCUUUGAAGAGAUCCAGAAGCAAUUUCAAGGGCUAAGUGUUCCUGUUCUUGAGCACCCAAAACUCCAGGAUGUCCUGUUAAUUCCUGUCAUUGGACCCAGGAGGGAUUUGCAAAAACAGCCAUCUGAAGUCAUCGUUGGAGCCCAGUGUGGCUAUGCAGUGCUUCGAGGAGCACAUGUUUAUGUCCCUGGAAUAGUGUCCACCUCGAGAUUUCUGAAAGCUGGAGAUCUGGUCUCAGUCUAUUCAGAUAUUGAAGGCAAAUGUAAAAGAGGAGCCAAAGAAUUUGGAGGAGUCAAAGUUUUCCUUGGGAAUGGGAUUUCAGAAGUCACUCGCAGCGACAUCUUCAGUUCAAGUGGCCCAGUGAAUGGCCUGGGCAUCAGAAUGACAGAGCCUGUCUACCUCAGCCCUUCCUUCGACGGUGUGCUCCCGAGGCUUUUGUUCCUACAGAACUUGCCUUCUGUGGUUGUGAGCCAUGUUUUAAACCCUCAGCCAGGAGAGAGAAUUCUGGAUAUGUGUGCAGCCCCUGGAGGGAAAACAACCCAUCUUGCAGCAUUGAUGCAUGACCAGGGUGAAGUAAUAGCCAUGGACAAGGUGGCUAACAAGGUCAAAAAGAUGAAGCAGAAUGCUGAGCUGCUCCAGCUGAAGUGCAUUAAAGCCUUUUGCUAUGAUGGAACAAAGGCACUUGCAGCUGAGGAGAGAGAGGCUGGACAAGAAGGACCUCCAUUCUUGCCAGAGUCAUUUGAUCGAGUUCUUCUCGAUGCUCCAUGCAGUGGGAUGGGACAGAGACCCAACAUGGCUUAUCCCUUGACUCUGAAGGAAGUGACCUCUUACCAGCCCCUGCAGCGCAAGCUUUUCACGGUGGCUGUGCAGCUGCUGAAGCCAGGAGGAGUUCUGGUGUACAGCACAUGCACCAUAACGCUGUCAGAGAAUGAGGAGCAAGUUGCUUGGGCCCUGAAAACUUUUCCAUGCCUCCAGCUUCAGCCACAGAACAGGUAAAUUCUGUAAACGUGAAGCAGCAGAUGCAGACUGGACUGAAACCUGCACAGCAAGGAAGGAGCACAGCCUGCAGCAGUCGGGAGCAGGAUCUGUGCAGCGCUGAAUCGGAAAGAACGAAGCCUGCUGGAACUUCAGUGGCCACUAAAGAUGUGCUGAGACUUCCCCAGGUCUGGAGGCUGCUCCUCUGCAGGCCCUGCUGGAGAAUUGCAUGUUCUGUGAUACCUGUGUGGCACUAAACAACUGCUGCAGGACAGACUGGGGCUGCUGAAGAGCACUGAUGUGUAUCCAUUUGCAAAGACAUACAAAAGUAAGGCUAGUAUCUGACAUACAGGUAAAUAUUAAAAGACAUCCCAUUCUUUAGAAAAAUAGAGCCCUGUGCAUCACUUCACUGCUUUAUCUCCCUACCUUCUCUCUCUCACUGCUUCUGGACUCCUUUUUUAGCUCAUUUCAACAGAAAUGUCACAGGUUGUUCUGUACCACACCAUACAGAAGGAGACUCUGGAGCUCACUGGGCCCUCUACCAUUCCUCAGCUUCAAAGCUCCUGAAACCAGACCCAGAAAUAGGAACUCGUUAGUAUCCUGCUGCAAACAAUAACAUGAAACCUCUUGUGACACACACUUCUGGCAUUUCAUGCCCAUAACCUUUGAUAUGUCCACCAGCUGGAGUAGUUUUAAAGCUUCUUUUGGGUGUAAUUCUGAAGUGCUUUUCUCCCAGUAGCGCUCUGUAGGCAGGUGGUGGUGCACAGACUGUGCAGUGCCAGCUCAGGGUACAAAAGAUUUGUCACUCUUAAAACAAGAACUGAAGGAAAAUGUCUCAGCAAUGCUGAUCAAACCCUGCUGAGUGGGUCUGCCUAAUAAACCCUCUUAAGUUUGUUGUCUGCACACCACUAGCAGCACUGUACAAAACAGGCUGCCCUCGUUGGCUGGGAUGUGCCAAGGUAUUGACAUGCCAUAAACCAGUAGCCCACACCUCAAUACCAGGGCUUGGCUCAUGCUCUUCCUCUCCUCGUUUUUCUCUCCCUACCUGGCUCCCUGUGCCAUGGUUGUGGUGCUGUGAAAUUUUGCCCCAAAUUCCUUCACAAACACUAUUAGAAAGGUGGAAAAGAAGCACUGUAGCAAGUUACAAAAGGAAGAAGAAAGGCAUUCGAAGGGCUGGAAGCUCAACGGUUACUUCCUAGAGGACACAGCUGGCAUGGAACAGUUGUAGGGAGCAGCAGCAGCAGCGUUUCCUGGAGCUGGUACAACAGCUGCAGCCAGGCUGCAUGGAGCAACCUCACUUCUCUGCCCAUUUACACGGGACCUAGUGGGAGCCACAACAACUAAGUCCUUCAGUGUUGUUUUCCACUGACCCCUCCUGCAUCAAAAGCUACUCAUCUAUACCCAGUGAGCAACACAACAGCUCUGCUUACCUAUGCUUCCUCUGGCUACAAAGUCACUCUGUGAUGCUUAGAGAAAAAGCUGAGAAGCUGCUCCCUAGAGAAAUGUCCUUUUCCUCCUGUUGCCCACAGCUCCUGCUUGGAGGUGCUGCCCUGGCUUAACCACAGCAGCCAGCAACGCUGGCAGGAACGACCAGAGGCACCUGCCAGAAGAGCUUCACACUCUGAUGGUGCUGUGAAAAAAUUCCUAACACCAUCGGGGAGAGGGAUGGAGGAGAGAGGACAGGGUUGUAUUCUCAGGAGUCAAACUGGGUGCUGGAAUAGAGGUUGGAGACAACAUGCACCUGCUGCCACACUUUAAUCCACGCCACUGAACUGAGAACUCAAAAUCAGGCAGUGCUGAUAUUCCCAGCAUUACAAUAAUUCAGCUUCCUGGCCUGCUCCAUCCUGUGCUAUUUACAGUGAAAUGCAAGAAGCAUUUCCUGCUUAGCGUUACUGAAGACUCUAUGCGAUGCAGAACAGUUCUGUGCUCGGCAAGGGCGCAGGACCUGCAGUCACAGCUGGCAGUGGAUCCACCCCCCCAGCAUGAGACAGCCCUGCAGUGCAGAACCAGCGCUGGUCCCUCCCUUGCCUCUCAGUGCACUUCCUCUAGCAAGCUCUUCACAGAGUGUUUCUUUCACAGUCACUCUUCUCUGAGCUCCCUCCAGCAGCGCACCAGGUGAGGUGCAGGAAAAGCAGAGUGAGGAUGAAAGGAAUUGGCAAGAGAGGGUUAGGAAAAAAAAGAAAUGGAGAAGCUACCAAAAAAAAAAUCUCUUCCCACAAAGUAAUUCUCCACAAGCUGUGUAAACUUCUGACUAAAACACGGACUCCAAGACACAAAGAUUACACAUUUCCAGUGAAACACUCCACAGUAACAUCUGCCUCUUUCCACUCUCCUGAAGCCUCACCAAAGAGCCAGCAGAUUUGUGCUUUCUCAGUUACCUGGAUCAGUUAAACUCCCUCACGGUCCCUGACUGCACUUUGGAAUUUGAAACCGACAGACAGAACAAAGGAUGAGCCCCGUCGGGCUCCUGAGCAGCCCUUGUUGUCUUCAGCAGCUUCUCAAGGUGCACAUGCAGCCCAUCCAUCGCCCACCUGCUCUCACUCACACACACACACACACACACACACCCUCUGCCAUGCCUGCUUCCUUACCCUGACAGCUGAACACUGAGCUGUGCCCACUGCCAUUCUGUGACCUGUCCAGAGAAGAACCAUUCAGAGUGGCAAGUUCAUCAUCUCUACCACCUACUGCCAAGCUGGGCUUGCAAGGGCAGCAUAAGGUGGAAGAGUUAAAGCCUUUACCUCAAGCACUCAGUCGUAUUUACAAUAAGCUUUCUGCUACAGAAGAAGUCUUUAGGUUGAACACUGUUACAGAUUCCCCAGCUGAGGCUAGUUCCAGUUGCCAGUAACCGCAAAGCAAACCUGCUGACUUGGCAUUAGGACUCUACAACAGUGUGAUCCAACUCAGAGAGCAAGAAGGUGUCUGCAGAAAGAACAUUUAUAAACUCUAUAUAAUAUACAGUACACAGUACCAAGACAUAGAAAAUCGAUUUGGGCUCCAGGAUCCCCUGUGUGUAAGGCAAGACUCAACUCUGUCUCCGAAUGUAGUCCACCAGAGGUACAAGCAACAGGGAGUGGCUCUUAAAUCAAGAUGCAAAUCGAGUGCAUACAAAUAAAAAAUCAGAGCAGACAAAAAGGUUUAGAUUGGGUUUUUUUUCGUUUUUUUUUUCUUUUUUUUUUCCCUUUUGUUUCUUUUUUUUCAUGUGCUGAUUCUGGCUUGCUGAAUACACGGGAAGUUAUUGAACAUCAAAUGUACCUUGGUUUAGAAAACACUAACAACACCUCGAUGGCAACAGAGAUUGUUCAAGUGGCAGCUACCAAAGGAAGAGGGGGGGAAAAAGAAGAAAA